CCCGCCACUUUGCCAGUCUGUAUGUGACUGAGUAUAGUCCAGUGGUGGCUAAGACGGACCCAGCUCUAGGAAACAGGGCUGCCCAAACAAUGAGCUUCUCUGUGCCGAAAGGCCUGGAACAAAU
ensembl:snoRNA small nucleolar RNA SNORA65